GGGCAUGUAGCUCAGUUGGUUAGAGCGCGACACUGAUAAUGUCGAGGUCCCAGGUUCGAAUCCUGGCAUGCCCA
rnacentral:tRNA from 1 species